rnacentral:rRNA from 1 species
UACGCGAAGAACCUUACCAGGGGCUUGACAUGCCAUUGCACCGGCCGGAGAUGGUCGUCUCCGCAAGGAGCGGUGGCACAGGUGCUGCAUGGCUGUCGUCAGCUCGUGUCGUGAGAUGUUGGGUUAAGUCCCGCAACGAGCGCAACCCCCAUUGCUAGUUGCAUGAUCUAGCGAGACUGCCACGAUCAACGUGGAGGAAGGUGGGGAUGACGUCAAGUCAGCACGGCCCUUACGUCCUGGGCGACACACACGCUACAAUGGUCGGUACAAAGGGUUGCCAACCCGCGAGGGGGAGCUAAUCUCGUCAAAACCGGCCUCAGUUCAGAUUGCAGGCUGCAACCCGCCUGCAUGAAGUCGGAGUUGCUAGUAAACGUAGGUCAGCACACUACGUUGAAUACGUUCCCGGGUCUUGUACACACCG